rnacentral:rRNA from 1 species
CACGUAUUUAGCCGUCACUUCUUCUGUUGGUACCGUCAUUUUUUUUCUUCCCAACUGAAAGCACUUUACAUUCCGAAAAACUUCAUCGUGCACACAGAAUUGCUGGAUCAGACUCUUGGUCCAUUGUCCAAUAUUCCCCACUGCUGCCUCCCGUAGGAGUAAGGGCCGUGUCUCAGUCCCCUUGUGGCCGAUCACCCUCUCAGGCCGGCUACCCAUCAUCGCCUUGGUGAGCCGUUACCUCUCCAACUAGCUAAUGGGACGCAAAGCUCUCUCACAGCGCAUAUAGCUUUCAUAAUCCUAAGAUGCCCUAAAAUCAUAAUAUCAGGUAUUAGCAUUCGUUCCAAAUGUUGUCCCUAUCUGUGAGGCAAGUUCUUUAACGCGUUAACUCACCCGUCCGCCACCCAAACCGAGUUCAAGUUGACUUGCAUGUGUUAAGCAUUCUGUCAGCGUUCAUCCUGACGCCAGGACUACAAACUCU